rnacentral:rRNA from 1 species
UACGUAGGGUGCAAGCGUUGUCCGGAAUUAUUGGGCGUAAAGAGCUCGUAGGCGGCCAGUUGCGUCUGCUGUGAAAUCCCGGGGCUCAACCCCGGGCGUGCAGUGGAUACGGGCUGGCUAGAGGCAGGCAGGGGAGAACGGAAUUCCCGGUGUAGCGGUGAAAUGCGCAGAUAUCGGGAGGAACACCGGUGGCGAAGGCGGUUCUCUGGGCCUGUACUGACGCUGAGGAGCGAAAGCGUGGGGAGCGAACAGG